GGGAAUAUGCUGUAAUUGGUAGCCAGGCCAGAUUUAGGAUCUGGUGCUUCAAUAGCGUGUGGGUUCGAGUCCCACUAUUCCCA
rnacentral:tRNA from 1 species